rnacentral:rRNA from 1 species
CCUACGGGUGGCAGCAGUGGGGAAUAUUGCACAAUGGGGGAAACCCUGAUGCAGCGAAGUCGCGUGAGGGAAGAAGUACUUAGUGAUGUAAAGCUCUAUCAGCAGGGAAGAAAAUGACGGUACCUGAGUAAGAAGCCCCGGCUAACUACGUGCCAGCAGCCGCGAGAAUACGUCGGGGGCAAGCGUUAUCCGGAUUUACUGGGUGUGAAGGGAGCGUAGACGGCAGUGCAAGUCUGGAGUGAAAGGCGGGGGCUCAACCCCCGGACUGCUCUGGAAACUGUACGGCUGGAGUGCAGGAGAGGUAAGUGGAAUGCCUAGUGUAGCGGUGAAAUGCGGAGAUAUUAGGAGGAACACCAGUGGCGAAGGCGGCUUACUGGACUGUAACUGACGUUGAGGCUCGAAAGCGUGGGGAGCAAACAGGAUUAGAUACCCCGGUAGUC